rnacentral:rRNA from 1 species
UAGUCCACGCCGUAAACGAUGUCAACUAGCCGUUGGGUCCAUUUAAGGGCUUAGUGGCGCAGCUAACGCGAUAAGUUGACCGCCUGGGGAGUACGCCGGCAACGGUAAAACUCAAAUGAAUUGACGGGGGCCCGCACAAGCGGUGGAGCAUGUGGUUUAAUUCGAUGCAACGCGAAAAACCUUACCUACCCUUGACAUCCUCAGAACUUGUUAGAGAUAACUUGGUGCCUUCGGGAACUGAGUGACAGGUGCUGCAUGGCUGUCGUCAGCUCGUGUCGUGAGAUGUCGGGUUAAGUCCCAUAACGAGCGCAACCCCUAUUCUUAGUUGCCAUCAGGUCAAGCUGGGGACUCUAGGAAAACUGCCUACGCAAGUAGAGAGGAAGGUGGGGAUGACGUCAAAUCAGCACGGCCCUUACGCCUUGGGCUACACACGUGCUACAAUGGCCUGUACAGAGGGCAGCUACCUGGUGACAGGAUGCAAAUCUCGAAAACAGGUCUCAGUUCGGAUUG